GAUGAACGCUAGCUACAGGCUUAACACAUGCAAGUCGAGGGGUAACGAGAGGAAGGCUUGCUUUCCUUGUCGACGACCGGCGCACGGGUGAGUAACGCGUAUCCAACCUGCCCCCAACUAGGGAAUAACCUUGCGAAAGUAAGACUAAUACCCUAUAAUUUCCUCAGAUGUCAUCUGACGAGGAAUAAAGAUUUAUCGGUUGUGGAUGGGGAUGCGUCUGAUUAGCUUGUUGGCGGGGUAACGGCCCACCAAGGGAACGAUCCAUAGGGGUGCGGAGAGGAAGGUCCCCCACAUUGGAACUGAGACACGGUCCCAACUCCUACGGGAGGCAGCAGUGAGGAAUAUUGGUCAAUGGGCGGAAGCCUGAACCAGCCAAGUAGCGUGCAGGAUGACGGCCCUAUGGGUUGUAAACUGCUUUUAUACAGGAAUAAAGUUAGCCACGUGUGGUUAUUUGUAGGUACUGUAUGAAUAAGGACCGGCUAAUUCCGUGCCAGCCGCCGCAGUAA
rnacentral:rRNA from 1 species